rnacentral:rRNA from 1 species
UACGGGGGGUGCAAACGUUGCUCGGAAUCAUUGGGCGUAAAGCGCACGUAGGCGGCGCGUUAAGUCGGGUGUGAAAGCCCUGGGCUCAACCCAGGAAGUGCAUUCGAAACUGGCGCGCUUGAAUAUGGAAGAGGGUCGCGGAAUUCCCGGUGUAGAGGUGAAAUUCGUAGAUAUCGGGAGGAACACCAGUGGCGAAGGCGGCGACCUGGGCCAAUAUUGACGCUGAGGUGCGAAAGCGUGGGGAGCAAACAGG